ACAGCAGCCGCCACGGUAAUACGUAGGGUGCAAGCGUUAAUCGGAAUUACUGGGCGUAAAGCGUGCGCAGGCGGUUUGUUAAGACAGAUGUGAAAUCCCCGGGCUUAACCUGGGAACUGCAUUUGUGACUGGCAAGCUAGAGUCUGGCAGAGGGGGGUGGAAUUCCGCGUGUAGCAGUGAAAUGCGUAGAUAUGCGGAGGAACACCGAUGGCGAAGGCAGCCCCCUGGGCCAACACUGACGCUCAUGCACGAAAGCGUGGGGAGCAAACAGGAUUAGAUACCCGCGUAGUCCCUGUCUCUUAUAC
rnacentral:rRNA from 1 species